rnacentral:rRNA from 1 species
AUUGAACGCUGGCGGCAUGCUUUACACAUGCAAGUCGAACGGCAGCGCGGGCUUCGGCCUGGCGGCGAGUGGCGAACGGGUGAGUAAUACAUCGGGACGUGCCCAGUAGUGGGGGAUAGCUCGGCGAAAGCCGGAUUAAUACCGCAUACGACCUGAGGGUGAAAGCGGGGGAUCUUCGGACCUCGCGCUAUUUGAGCGGCCGAUGGCAGAUUAGCUAGUUGGUGGGGUAAAGGCCUACCAAGGCGACGAUCUGUAGCUGGUCUGAGAGGACGACCAGCCACACUGGGACUGAGACACGGCCCAGACUCCUACGGGAGGCAGCAGUGGGGAAUUUUGGACAAUGGGCGAAAGCCUGAUCCAGCAAUGCCGCGUGUGUGAUGAAGGCCUUCGGGUUGUAAAGCACUUUUGGCGGGAACGAAAAGGACUGUGCCAAUACCACGGUUCGAUGACGGUACCCGCAGAAUAAGCACCGGCUAACUACGUG